UGGUGUUUCCUCCGACACAUUGAUGCAGCUGGCUUCCGGGUUAAGGGGACGGGUGUUAAGAAGCGCGGCUUGGCUGAUCAUUUGCUAACGUGAGAAAAGCACACGUACCUAGAAGUUUCUCAUUUUUGUGAAUGGAAUAUUUGGCUUGAAGUCUCAUGCGGGUACUUUAAAUGUAUUUUUAUUUUAUUUAACUAGUCAAGUCAGUUAAGAACAAAUUGUUAUUUUCAAUGACAGCCAAGGAACAGUGGGUUAACUGCCUUGUUCAGGGGCAGAACGGCAGAUGUUUACCUUGUCAGCUCGAGGAUUAGAUCUUGCAACCAUUUCCGUUACUAGUCCAAUGCUCUAACCACUAGGCUACUUGCCUCCCCACGCCCCAUGCAGUGGCGAACCAUGACUAUUGGAACUAGGCCCUCAGUUGCCGAAAAGAUCUGACAUCAUACAUAUAGAGAACUCGGAUGCCUGUGUAUACAGAGCAUGUCUGAGACCUUUCUUUUGCAGACCUAUGUAGGAGAAGCAAUUCGUAGAUGACAGAGUCAAACAGUCCUAAGCCACGCCUCGGCUGUGGCUCACAGUACAGGUACACAACGGUCCUAAGCCACGCCUCGGCUGUGGCUCACAGCACAGGUACACAACGGUCCGAAGUCACGCCUCGGCUGUGGCUCACAGCACACGUACACAACGGUCCUAAGCCACGCCUCGGCUGUGGCUCACAGCACAGGUACACAACGGUCCUAAGCCACACCUCGGCUGUGGCUCACAGCACAGGUACGCAACGGUCCUAAGCCACACCUCGGCUGUGGCUCACAGCACAGGUACACAACGGUCCUAAGCCACGCCUCGGCUGUGGCUCACAGCACACGUACACAACGGUCCUAAGCCACGCCUCAGCUGUGGCUCACAGCACAGGUACACAACGGUCCUAAGCCACACCUCGGCUGUGGCUCACAGCACAGGUACACAACGGUCCUAAGCCACGCCUCGGCUGUGGCUCAGAGCACAGGUACACAAACGGUCCUAAGCCACGCCUCGGCUGUGGCUCACAGCACAGGUACACAACGGUCCUAAGCCACGCCUCGGCUGUGGCUCACAGCACAGGUACACAACGGUCCUAAGCCACGCCUCGGCUCUGGCUCACAGCACAGGUACACAACGGUCCUAAGCCACGCCUCGGCUGUGGCUCACAGCACAGGUACACAACGGUCCUAAGCCACGCCUCGGCUGUGGCUCACAGCACAGGUACACAACGGUCCUAAG